rnacentral:rRNA from 1 species
UACGAAGGGGGCUAGCGUUGCUCGGAAUUACUGGGCGUAAAGCGCACGUAGGCGGCUUUCUAAGUCGGGGGUGAAAUCCUGGAGCUCAACUCCAGAACUGCCUUCGAUACUGGAAAGCUCGAGUCCGGGAGAGGUGAGUGGAACUGCGAGUAUAGAGGUGAAAUUCGUAGAUAUUCGCAAGAACACCAGUGGCGAAGGCGGCUCACUGGCCCGGUACUGACGCUGAGGCGCGAAAGCGUGGGGAGCAAACAGG